UGGGGAUAUUGGGCAAUGGGCGAAAGCCUGACCCAGCCACGCCGCGUGGGUGAUGAAGGCCUUCGGGUUGUAAAGCUCUUUUGGGGGGGAAGAAAGGCCCCGGGGCUAAUACCCGCGGGGUUUGCCGGUACCCCAAGAAGAAGCCCCGGCUAACUCCGUGCCCGCGGCCGUAGUAAUA
rnacentral:rRNA from 1 species